rnacentral:rRNA from 1 species
UACGUAGGCAGCGAGCGUUGUUCGGAAUUACUGGGCGUAAAGAGUGUGUAGGCGGUGCUCUAAGUUCGGUGUGAAAUCUCCUGGCUUAACUGGGAGGGUGCGCCGGAAACUGGAGUGCUCGAGCGUGGGAGAGGAAAGCGGAAUUCCCGGUGUAGAGGUGAAAUUCGUAGAUAUCGGGAGGAACACCAGUGGCGAAGGCGGCGAUCUGGGAAGAUACUGACGCUGAGGUGCGAAAGCGUGGGGAGCAAACAGG